rnacentral:rRNA from 1 species
GCCCAUUGAUACUGCUGGUCUUGAAUACGGUUGAAGUAGGCGGAAUGUAGCAUGUAGCGGUGAAAUGCAUAGAGAUGCUACAGAACACCGAUCGCGAAGGCAGCUUACUAAGCCGAUAUUGACGCUCAGGCACGAAAGCGUGGGGAGCGAACAGGAUUAGAUACCCUGGUAGUCCACGCCGUAAACUAUGAUCACUCGUUGUUGGCAAUACACAGUCAGUGACUAAGCGAAAGCGAUAAGUGAUCCACCUGGGGAGUACGAUCGCAAGGUUGAAACUCAAAGGAAUUGACGGGGGCCCGCACAAGCGGUGGAGCAUGUGGUUUAAUUCGAUGAUACGCGAGGAACCUUACCUGGGCUCAAAUGUAAGUUGACAAAUCCUGAAAGGGGUCUCUCUUCGGACAAUUUACAAGGUGCUGCAUGGUUGUCGUCAGCUCGUGCCGUGAGGUGUCGGGUUAAGUCCCAUAACGAGCGCAACCCCUACUCUUAGUUGCCAGCAUGUAAUGAUGGGGACUCUAGGAGAACUGCCUACGCAAGUAGAGAGGAAGGUGGGGAUGACGUCAAAUCAGCACGGCCCUUACGUCCAGGGCUACACACGUGCUACAAUGGCCGGUACAGAGGGCAGCCACCUGGUGACAGGGAGCGAAUCUCUAAAGCCGGUCUCAGUUCGGAUCGAAGUCUGCAACCCGACUUCGUGAAGCUGGAAUCGCUAGUAAUCGCGCAUCAGCCAUGGCGCGGUGAAUACGUUCCCGGGCCUUGUACACACCGCCCGUCAAGCCAUGGAAGCUGGGAGUACCUGAAGUCGGUGACCGUAAAGGAGCCGCCUAGGGUAAAACUGGUAACUAGGGCUAAGUCGUAACAAGGUA